GAUGAACGCUGGCGGCGUGCCUAACACAUGCAAGUCGAACGAAGCGAUCAAGAUGAAGUUUUCGGAUGAAUUCGAGAUUGACUGAGUGGCGGACGGGUGAGUAACGCGUGGAUAACCUGCCUCAUACAGGGGGAUAACAGUUAGAAAUGACUGCUAAUACCGCAUAAGCGCACAGUACCGCAUGGUACAGUGUGAAAAACUCCGGUGGUAUGAGAUGGAUCCGCGUCUGAUUAGCUGGUUGGCGGGGUAACGGCCCACCAAGGCGACGAUCAGUAGCCGACCUGAGAGGGUGACCGGCCACAUUGGGACUGAGACACGGCCCAA
rnacentral:rRNA from 1 species